UCGUCUUCCCGCCGCUCGGUUUCUCCUCACUCAAAUCUCAAGCCCUUAAAGACGGUCAGCUCUGUGACGUCAGGCCUAUUUGCAUAACAUUCCCCAGCAUCCCAAGCGAACGUUCUACGGUUUCCAAAAAUCUGAUUAUUCCACGCGAGAUGUUCAACAACGAGAAGCGUCCCACGCAGGAGGGGGGCUCUAGAUAUAACCGCUCGAGUGGGAACGCGUCCUGUGCGCGAGCGCGCUGGCAGCCACUCACCCUCAAUGCAAAGCCACUCCCCUAAACCACUUCCUGAUCAGGCAUGAAGAUGUGAUGGCUGAAUAAGACAAAUUAACAUCACUUCUCUGGAACCCAGGGCAGGUUUCCUAGGGCCAUGCUGCAUUCAGGGCUUCGCAGCCCCAGGAAGCAAAGAAAAGUCUCCCAACAAGCCAAUGUGUCAGAACUGAGCAAAAGUGAUGGAAAGAGACAGCUAGUGAGAACUACUCAAAGGUAUAUCCUGGAGACCCCAAGUUGAUUACAGAAACUCCAAGAGGAACCAGUGUGUGCUGCCUAGAAGCUGAAAUUUCAAGCAGCUAUAAAUAUCCUUGAUAGUGUGGUCUGAAAAUGCACUCCCAUCAUUUUUCAGCCUCAGCUGGUUGCUGAGAUGGCCAAUCUGGGUCUUUAAAUCCAGCCCAGAGGAAAUAGAAGAUGGAUACUCCCUCCAAUGGCAAAUUCUGUAUCGAUCAGGAAGUCAGAUGAUGCCUUGAUAAUCCAAAUAUCAGAAUUUUUUCCUAUUUACCCCUCAUAAGGUUGGAGAAGAACUCUUACACUUGUGGGUAUAUGGGAUUAAGAUGAAGUGACUGAGAUACACAUCUUGGGAGCAAAAUUAGAGGGGUGCCUCAAACUGAGUAAUCAAGGCAUCACCCUGGACUUGAUCUCAGCAUCUCCUUCCUGGAAGACCUGACCCGACACAGAAAGACUUGGGGGCUGGAUUUUUGAGUGACAAAAGGACUUUGAGAACCUGAAGCUGUGCUGGUAGAGCAUUUUUAUAUAAGAUCCAUAACUUACCACCACCCAUCCCAAAGUGUAGGGAAGCACUGAUGACAGGAUAAUAACAACUAACUUUAUGAUAAUUAAUUUAGACAAUAGCUAUAUAGUAUCUGUCUUUUCAGGGGUUCAAUACAUGGUAGCUAAGUUUCCGAGUGUGUGGAAACAGAGCCCCUCGGGGAAACUGUGUUUCACACUGGGUGUAACUUUCCUGUAGAUUUCCCUUUAAUGUCUAACGUCUCAUGCAGUUUUGGAAAAGUCUCUAGGGAGGGUGGAUGUGUGGGAAAUUAAGAGAGACAUAACCACAAAAGUAUUGGAUUUGGGACCCGAAGGCUGAGUUGCAAGCUAAACUGCCACCGGUCCAGAGGGAGACACCAGGAAAGGUCCUCCAAAGGCUCCCGGCCCUGCCCGGUACCGAUUUACAGUCCUCCUGGGAGGUG